GACGAACGCUGGCGGCGUGCCUAAUACAUGCAAGUAGAACGCACAGUUUAUACCGUAGCUUGCUACACCAUAGACCGUGAGUUGCGAACGGGUGAGUAACGCGUAGGUAACCUGCCUGGCAGCGGGGGAUAACUAUUGGAAACGAUAGCUAAUACCGCAUAAUAUUAAUUAUUGCAUGAUAAUUAAUUGAAAGGUGCAAUUGCACCACUACCAGAUGGACCUGCGUUGUAUUAGCUAGUAGGUGAGGUAACGGCUCACCUAGGCGACGAUACAUAGCCGACCUGAGAGGGUGAUCGGCCACACUGGGACUGAGACACGGCCCAGACUCCUACGGGAGGCAGCAGUAGGGAAUCUUCGGCAAUGGACGAAAGGCUGACCGAGCAACGCCGCGUGAGUGAAGAAGGUUUUCGGAUCGUAAAGCUCUGUUGUAAGAGAAGAACGGGUGUGAGAGUGGAAAGUUCACACUGUGACGGUAUCUUACCAGAAAGGGACGGCUAACUACGUG
rnacentral:rRNA from 1 species